rnacentral:rRNA from 1 species
CGGUAACAGCUCAAAUUUGAAAUCUGGCCUUUUCAGGGCCCGAGUUGUAAUUUGCAGAAGAUGCUUGGGGUGCGGUGCCCACCUAAGUUCCUUGGAACAGGACGUCACAGAGGGUGAGAAUCCCGUAUGUGGUGGGGGCCCAGCCCGUGUCAAGCUCUUUCGAC